UGUCUUGUGUACCAUCUUAGCUACUUUUCCCAGGAAAUAUUAUGAAAGAGGUACUAAUUUCUGGAGGAGAAUUUGGUUAUUCUAGUUGUGUUUUAGUAAAGGGCAUAAAGUCUGAAGUCAGAUCAUUGGUAGUGUUUCUUAGUGUGGAUCUGUCCCAACUUUGGGGGUUUUUGUUUAUUUGUUUUUGUUUUUUUUUAAUUAAUUUACUUUUUACACUCCACAUUCCAUCCCCCACCCUCCAUCCACCCCGACUGCUCCACAUCCCAAAUUGCUCCCUACCCCACCCCGUCUCCACAUGGAUGCCACCACCCCCCACCCCACCUGACCUCUAAACUCCCUGCAGCCUCCAGUCUCCUGAGGGUUAGGUGCAUCAUCUGUGAAUGAACACAGAACUGGAAGUCCUCUACUGUAUGUGUGUUAGGGGCCUCAUAUCAGCUGGUGUAUGCUGUCUGUUUGGUGGUCCAGUGUUUGAGAGAUCUCAGGGGUCCAGAUUAAUUGAAACUGCUGGUCCUCCUACUGGAUCACCUUCCUCCUCAGCUUCUUUCAGCCUUGCCUAAUUCAACAACAGGGGUCGGCUGCUUCUUUCCAUUGGUUGGGUGCAAAUAUCUGCCUGUGCUACCUGAGAGAGGUGCACAGCACUUGAGUCCCUCAGGCAGUGGGAACAGAGUCACAGUCCCUCAGGAGUCGCAGCAGAGUUGUGGGAUAUGACCUGUGAGAAAAGGUCCUAUGAUUUCCAGGUCCUCUUUGGGUGAGGGUGGAGUCCCUGCAGGGGUGAGAUGUCUUUUCUUGGAGGUGGUGCACAGAACCUGUAUCCUCAGCAUCAGGAAUGGGGGAUGAUAUUUAGGGGACAGCUCAGAAAGCAUGGUAUUCUGGCGCUGGAAGUAGGGGCACAGUGAGGUUGGGGACCCUGCGUGAGGACUUAUUCAGGACACCUUCUCCUCAGGCUUUGGGGGUCAGAAUCUCCAAUUGUAAAAGUCAGGUGACAGACAAGCACACUGGGAUGAGCAAGAGGAAACAAGAGUUCCUACAGUGUGAUGAGAAAAACUGUUCUGAGAUAAAAAGGUAUGGAAAUUGUGUCAAGUACUUAGUAAGUAAGACUAAUUAUCUAGAAUCGAAUUCUACAACAGGAUCACAUUCUUUGCAUUCAUAUGGCCAGUGAUGUCCGUUGAAGAAAUUAAAACUUUUUUUUAUUAUCAUUGACUUGUGGAGAACUGUUCUCUUGUGAGUAAACUAUAACGUGCGUAUCUUUAUAUACUAUGAUUUUGCCUGCACAUAAGGGCAGAGGGAUUAUACUUCUCCCUUUGUCGUUAUCCUGGACUCCUUUUAUUUUUUGCCCCCUUCACCUAUGUGAGAUCAAGCUCUUACCACUAAAAGAAUGAACAUUCCUGCCUCAGCUAGUGUCUAAAUAAAAAACUGUUCUAUGGUUAGAUGCUCAUACUUUGCUUCCCAUAGGCCCUAUGAGGGACAGACGGAAUCAGGGCUCAUCAGGAAGAUUCCUGGGAACAAAUCACUUUCUU
rnacentral:lncRNA from 1 species